CCUUUAAUUCUGAAAGAAGGAUGAUUUUGCAGCUCUGUCUGGGAAAAAAUGAGGACAACAAAGGGAAUUUAGUGCAGAAGGGCCUAGAAAAGAUCCAUUCCACAUGCUGCAGGCCACAAAACACUCUCCAUCUUCUUUAUCUAACUUAAUGUCUAGAGGAGAGAAUAAUCUCACAAUGCACUGAGCUGCAGGAGGUCUCCCACCCUCCUAACUCAGAUGUCUGGGAGGGAGAGGAUGUUCUGCUCCUGGUGGAAGUCAGUGCUGUUUGACUUCACCCCAGCAUGGAGGAUGCCACUCCUUCUCCAGGAUGCUGCCGUGAUGGAGGACAGCUGUUUUACUUCCAAGACCUUCUGCCAUCCACCUGAGCCACACUGCUCCUUGAGAAAGGAAGAAAAAUAAUCACUGUCAGGGUAAGAUGAAAUCAAAUUAAUCUGAGACAAAUGGGAGAAGUCAAUGAAGGAAUAGUCUUAUACCUGAUGGAAAUGGACAUAACCCUGAAAAUGCCUUUAAUUCUGAAAGAAGGAUGCAACUGGAAGGGAAAAAACCACUGGAGAUUAAAGCAGGAUGACUCCAGACCAGACAGAAUCAGAUGAACCAGGGAAUAAAUGGGAGCUUCUCCACUCACAAUUUCUCUGCUCUAUUCAAAGGAAAAAGGUGCUACAUGAUUAGAGACCAUGACCUUCUCCAACAUCCUCUCUGAGGUGCCAUGCCCGACGUCAUUCCCAAUGCCUUCCCAUGCCCAUAAUUAGGAGAAACAAAAAGCUCUCUUGUCUGUUUGUUCUGAGGAAUAAGCUCAGCUGGCAUAAAAUGAAACCAUUUGUCUAAUGGUCUUGCAUUUGGAAAAAAUCCCUUCAAAGAGAUUGUACUGGAACUGGCUAUUCCUCCAAAUACAUGAAAUGAUUUAAUUAAAGGUGACAAGUUAAACAGA